UGAGAAUAUUGCAACAGGAUAGGUAAUUGAAGCCAUUAUGGAUAUUUUUCAUCCUAUUAGAUUAAGUAGAUUUGGUAUGAAUAGUUGAAGGAAGAGGCAAGAAAAGGAGAAGAAAACUUAGCUGAGAAAAAAUAAUCCUAUGUUAUGCAGCUGCUAAAAAAGAUGUGUAUGGUAAUAACAAAAUGAGCUGCUUACGUUAAAUCUGAAUCUCAAAAAGCACAGAUGUCCUUCCAGGCACUUUAUUGUAAGACUGACUGUUGUUUCUUUCCAGAGAAGCAUAUUCUGCUGAUACUGCCGGGUUAGCACAUGGAUUUCAUGGAUCAGUAUUCAAGCAUCUUAGGAUAAACCCGAUGCUCAGAAGACUGCGUGUUCAAUCUGAUGCAUCACUUGAACCUGACUUUAAAGGCACAAUAUCUGGAUUAUAUGCAGCCAGUCACCCCAGAGGUAACAAAAACAUCAUCAUUUUCUAUGAACUAAUGUCUCAUUCCACACUACUUUGUGUAUAUCCUGAUUUUCCUGUUUUAGUAUUGACUCUCUGUGUGUGUAGAUGUGUUUCUUUAGCAGAAUCCACAUACAUUAGACAUCACUGUGCAUUUUCAUGUAUUUGGAGGAAAAUAAAUGACACGCAUAAGCACAAAACAGUGAGGAAGAUGCAUUUCCCUUAGCUUACUUUACCCAGUUGCAGUGGUUUUCCCAUGGUUAGGGAGAACACUGGGUGAGAGCAGUCAGUGCUCUUAUCCAGGGUAGAAAUUUUAAAAUUACUGUUUUCACAGAGUUCUUCAGAGAGUCACAUUACUGUGAGGGAAGUUAAGGUGAGACAUUAGGGAUGGUUUUACCUUGUUUGUUUGCAUGGGUGAGAAAGAUACAAUACUACUUAAGGUUUAGAUGAGGUAGGGAAACAUCUUCACCACCUACUUCACUUUGCUGUCCUUUCCCCCCACACCACCCACCCACACUUCUCA
rnacentral:lncRNA from 1 species